UGAGGAAUAUUGGUCAAUGGACGAGAGUCUGAACCAGUCAAGUAGCGUGAAGGAUGACUGCCCUAUGGGUUGUAAACUUCUUUUAUACGGGAAUAAAGUGAGGCACGUGUGCCUUUUUGUAUGUACCGUAUGAAUAAGGAUCGGCUAACUCCGUGCCAGCAGCCGCGGUAAUACGGAGGAUCCGAGCGUUAUCCGGAUUUAUUGGGUUUAAAGGGAGCGUAGAUGGAUGUUUAAGUCAGUUGUGAAAGUUUGCGGCUCAACCGUAAAAUUGCAGUUGAUACUGGAUAUCUUGAGUGCAGUUGAGGCAGGCGGAAUUCGUGGUGUAGCGGUGAAAUGCUUAGAUAUCACGAAGAACUCCGAUUGCGAAGGCAGCCUGCUAAGCUGCAACUGACAUUGAGGCUCGAAAGUGUGGGUAUCAAACAGGAUUAGAUACCCUGGUAGUCCACACGGUAAACGAUGAAUACUCGCUGUUUGCGAUAUACUGCAAGCGGCCAAGCGAAAGCGUUAAGUAUUCCACCUGGGGAGUACGCCGGCAACGGUGAAACUCAAAGGAAUUGACGGGGGCCCGCACAAGCGGAGGAACAUGUGGUUUAAUUCGAUGAUACGCGAGGAACCUUACCCGGGCUUAAAUUGCAGAUGAAUUACGGUGAAAGCCGUAAGCCGCAAGGCAUCUGUGAAGGUGCUGCAUGGUUGUCGUCAGCUCGUGCCGUGAGGUGUCGGCUUAAGUGCCAUAACGAGCGCAACCCUUGUUGUCAGUUACUAACAGGUUCCGCUGAGGACUCUGACAAGACUGCCAUCGUAAGAUGUGAGGAAGGUGGGGAUGACGUCAAAUCAGCACGGCCCUUACGUCCGGGGCUACACACGUGUUACAAUGGGGGGUACAGAGGGCCGCUACCACGCGAGUGGAUGCCAAUCCCCAAAACCUCUCUCAGUUCGGACUGGAGUCUGCAACCCGACUCCACGAAGCUGGAUUCGCUAGUAAUCGCGCAUCAGCCACGGCGCGGUGAAUACGUUCCCGGGCCUUGUACACAC
rnacentral:rRNA from 1 species